AGGAGUCUAACAUGUGUACGAGUUAAUGGGUGAGUAAAUCCAUACGGCAUAAGGAAGCUGAUUGGUGGGAUCCCCCUGAGGGGUGCACUGUCGACCAACUUUGAUUUUCUGAGAAGGGUUUAAGUGUGAGCAUACCUAUCAGGACUCGAAAGAUGGUGAAACAUGCCUGAGCAGGAUAAAGCCAGAGGAAACUCUGGUGGAUGCUCACAGUGAUACUGCCAUGUAAGUUAUUUAUCUGACUUGGUAUAGGGGCGAAAGACUAAUCAAAUCGUCUAGUAGCUGGUUCCCUCUGAAGUUUUCUCAAGAUAGUUGGAUCUUGCGUGUGAGCUCUAUCGAGUAAAGCCUAUGAUUUGAGGCCUCAGGGGCGUAACGCUCUUGACCUAUUUUCAAACUUUAAAUAGGUAGGAUGGUAUGACUACUUUGUUGAGUUGCGCCAUGCAAUUAAGAGAUCCAAGUUGGCUAUUUUGGGUAAGCAGAACUGGUGAUGCGAGAUGAAUCGAAAGAUGGAUUAUGGUGAGAAACUGCGUGCUAACUUAGAUCCCACAAAGGGUGUUGGUUGAUUGAGACAGCAGAACGCUGGUCAUAAAAGUCGAAAUCCACUAAGGAGUAUGUAAUAACUUACCUGCCAAAUGAACUAGCCCCAAAAUGGAUGGCGCCUAAGCACGCGACCUACACCCGGUCGUCGGGGCAAGUGCCAAAAUAGAAGAAAAAUAUUUAUUUAUAAAUGGAUUUAAUUUAUCAUGAAGAGUUCAUUAUAUUCU
rfam:Capsicum annuum cultivar Zunla-1 chromosome 6, whole genome shotgun sequence